rnacentral:rRNA from 1 species
UGGGGAAUUUUGCACAAUGGGGGAAACCCUGAUGCAGCGACGCCGCGUGAUUUAGAAGGCCUUCGGGUUGUAAAAAUCUUUUUUACGGGAUGAAAAUGACAGUACCGUAAGAAUAAGGUCCGGCUAAAUACGUGCCAGCAGCCGCGGUAAUACGUAUGGACCGAGCGUUGUCCGGAAUCAUUGGGGGUAAAGGGUACGUAGGCGGCAUAGUAAGUUAGAAGUGAAAUAAUAUAGCUCAAAUAUAUAAAGCUUUUAAAACUGCUAGGCUUGAGAGAUGGAAGAGGAAGUGGAAUUCCUAGUGUAGCGGUGAAAUGCGCAGAUGUUAGGAAGAAUACCGGUGGCGAAGGCGACUUUCUGGUCAUCAUCUGACGCUGAGGUACGAAAGCGUGGGUAGCAAACAGG